UCAGGCAACGAGCGAGACCCACGCCCACAGUUGCCAGCGUACUCUCCGGGAUGCCGGGUACACUGUGGGGACCGCCUGUGCUAAAGCGGAGGAAGGAAUGGGCAACGGUAGGUCAGUAUGCCCCGAAUCUCCCGGGCUACACGCGGGCUACAAUGGUUGGGACAAUGGGUUUCUACCCCGAAAGGUGAAGGCAAUCUCCUAAACCCAUUCUUAGUUCGGAUUGAGGGCUGCAACUCGCCCUCA
rnacentral:rRNA from 1 species